AACCAACAGGGAUUGCCUCAGUAACGGCGAGUGAAGCGGCAAAAGCUCAAAUUUUAAAGCUGACAUCUUCGGUGUCCGCGUUGUAAUUUUGUGAGGCAUCUCCGGGUAGGGCGCCGGCCUAAGUUCCUUGGAACAGGACGUCACAGAGGGUGAGAAUCCCGUGCUUGGCUGGCUGUCCCCGUCCAUGUGAGGUGUCUUCGACGAGUCGAGUUGUUUGGGAAUGCAGCUCAAAAUGGGUGGUAAAUUUCAUCUAAAGCUAAAUAUUGGUGGGAGACCGAUAGCGCACAAGUAGAGUGAUCGAAAGAUGAAAAGCACUUUGAAAAUAGAGUUAAAAAGUACGUGAAAUUGUUGAAAGGGAAGCGCUUGAGACCAGACUUCGGUAAGGGGUGAUCAGCCGUCCUUCUGGGCGGUGCACUUGCCCCCCUCCGGGCCAGCAUCGGUUGAGGCGGCGGGAUAAAGGUCCCGGGAAUGUGGCUCCUUCACGGGAGUGUUAUAGCCCGGGUGAAUGCCGCCAGCUUCGACCGAGGACCGCACCCGCAAGGGUUAGGAUGCUUGGCAUAAUGGUCUUCAGCGA
rnacentral:rRNA from 4 species